GCCGAGGUGGCCCAGCCUGGAACGGCGCGAGACUGGAAAUCUCGUGAGGCAUUGCCUCUCAGGAGUUCAAAUCUCCUCCUCGGCG
rnacentral:tRNA from 1 species